AUGUCUGUUGAAAAGAGGGUUUAUGUUGAUGUUGCAGAGUUGUUUCGGAGCGAGUUUGCUGAAGCUGAAGAUGGUGGCGUUGAUGGAUCUAGCAUGGAACAGGGACGCGGAUGUGUGGAUGAGAAGUGCUUCGGAGAUGGAAGUGAGGCGGAUAGAUGGUGGCUGAUUGCGUAUGGUAAUAGAUCAGAAAUGAGGCUUCACGGUUCGGUGUGUUGCUCGGAUGAAUAG